AGGAGCAUUAGUGCCCGUUGCAUCACCGCGUGUGUGAUGGCGGGUUGCUCAUGGGUGGAACAUCAACGAAUGGUGCUGGGGAGUGUCCUGGUUCUGGCUGAGUACGCCGGCUGUUUGCAGCUGGUUGGAAUGGUUGGGGCUGGUGAUGGUUUCUGGUGUUGGCACACUGUUGGGUCCUGGGACAGCAGGCGCCUGGCAGCCUUUUGGGGUUGUUGGGUGGUGUUGUUUCUGUUUCCCUUGCUUGGUGAGUCGCAUCGUUGUGGUGUGGUGAGCGGGUGUGGGG
rnacentral:misc_RNA from 1 species